GGUGAACGCUGGCGGCGUGCUUAAGACAUGCAAGUCGAACGGCAGUCUUCGGACUGUAGUGGCGCACGGGUGAGUAACGCGUAACUGACCUACCCCAAAGUCGCGGAUAACGAUUCGAAAGAAUCGCUAAUACGUGAUGUGCUGUCAGAUUGUGUUCUGCCAGUAAAGAUUGAUUGCUUUGGGAUGGGGUUGCGUUCCAUCAGCUGGUUGGUGGGGUAAAGGCCCACCAAGGCGACGACGGAUAGCCGGCCUGAGAGGGUGGCCGGCCACAGGGGCACUGAGACACGGGUCCCACUCCUACGGGAGGCAGCAGUUAGGAAUCUUCCACAAUGGGCGAAAGCCUGAUGGAGCGACGCCGCGUGAGGGAUGAAGGUCUUCGGAUCGUAAACCUCUGAAUCAGGGACGAAAGACACUUCGGUGGGAUGACGGUACCUGAGUAAUAGCACCGGCUAGCUCCGUGCCAGCAGCCGCCGUAACAC
rnacentral:rRNA from 1 species